UACGGGGGGAGCAAGCGUUGUCCGGAUUUAUUGGGCGUAAAGAGCUCGUAGGCGGUCUGUCGCGUCUGCUGUGAAAACUCGGGGCUUAACCCCGGGCCUGCAGUGGGUACGGGCAGACUAGAGUGCGGUAGGGGAGACUGGAAUUCCUGGUGUAGCGGUGAAAUGCGCAGAUAUCAGGAGGAACACCGGUGGCGAAGGCGGGUCUCUGGGCCGUAACUGACGCUGAGGAGCGAAAGCAUGGGGAGCGAACAGG
rnacentral:rRNA from 1 species